AUUUAGAGGAAGGAGAAGUCGUAACAAGGUUUCCGUAGGUGAACCUGCGGAAGGAUCAUUGUCGUCUCUAGAACCACCACCGGCGAACCGAGGUCCCGCAGAAACGUCGCUCGCGGCGCGCGGCCCCCGCGUCCCGACGAGCUCCGAACAACCCUCUGGGCGCGGCGAGCGCCAAGGAAUAGAAGCGGAAAGGGCGGCCGCCUCGCCCGGUGCGGGCGCGCCCCGGCCGGGGACGCAGCACCGSCGUGGGGAUCCGCCGCCCGUCUGUGAGAWCUUUUAGACGACUCUCGGCAACGGAUAUCUCGGCUCUCGCAUCGAUGAAGAACGUAGCGAAAUGCGAUACUUGGUGUGAAUUGCAGAAUCCCGYGAACCAUCGAGUCUUUGAACGCAAGUUGCGCCCGAGGCCACUCGGCCGAGGGCACGCCUGCCUGGGCGUCACGCCACCCAUCGCCCCCGCCGCGGCGUUCCCACGCCCGGCAGGGGAGCGGAGACUGGCCGUCCGUGCCCGAGUCCUCGGCGCGCGGUCGGCAGAAAAGGGGGACACCGCGCGGCGCGGCGCGGCCUUUGGGGGGCUGAGAGGCGAUCCGUCGCCGAUCGUACGCCGCGCCCGCAUUCCGCCGCGUGCGGUGUCACCGGAGUGGACUCGCCCGCAGCCGCGGGCGCUCGGACCGCGACCCCAGGUCAGGCGUGGCCACCCGCUGAAUUUA
rnacentral:rRNA from 1 species